UCCCUCAUAGCUCAGUUGGUAAAGAAUCUGCCUGAAGUGCAGGAGACCUGGGUUCGAUUCCUGGGUGGGGAA
rfam:TPA: Bos taurus chromosome 24, whole genome shotgun sequence.